GACGAACGCUGGCGGCGUGCCUAAUACAUGCAAGUAGAACGCACAGUUUAUACCGUAGCUUGCUACACCAUAGACUGUGAGUUGCGAACGGGUGAGUAACGCGUAGGUAACCUGCCUGGUAGCGGGGGAUAACUAUUGGAAACGAUAGCUAAUACCGCAUAAUAUUAAUUAUUGCAUGAUAAUUGAUUGAAAGAUGCAACUGCAUCACUACCAGAUGGACCUGCGUUGUAUUAGCUAGUAGGUGAGGUAACGGCUCACCUAGGCGACGAUACAUAGCCGACCUGAGAGGGUGAUCGGCCACACUGGGACUGAGACACGGCCCAGACUCCUACGGGAGGCAGCAGUAGGGAAUCUUCGGCAAUGGACGAAAGUCUGACCGAGCAACGCCGCGUGAGUGAAGAAGGUUUUCGGAUCGUAAAGCUCUGUUGUAAGAGAAGAACGGGUGUGAGAGUGGAAAGUUCACACUGUGACGGUAUCUUACCCGAAAGGGACGGCUAACUACGUG
rnacentral:rRNA from 1 species